rnacentral:rRNA from 1 species
UACAGAGGUCUCAAGCGUUUGUUCGGAUUCAUUGGGCGUAAAGGGUGCGUAGGUGGCGUCGUAAGUCAGGUGUGAAAUCUCGGAGCUUAACUCCGAAACUGCAUUUGAUACUGCGGUGCUUGAGGACUGGAGAGGAGACUGGAAUUUACGGUGUAGCAGUGAAAUGCGUAGAGAUCGUAAGGAAGACCAGUGGCGAAGGCGGGUCUCUGGACAGUUCCUGACACUGAGGCACGAAGGCCCAGGGGAGCAAAACGGG